AGUUUGCAUUAUUUAUGGAUCAAAUAUGGACAUAGCUGGAUGUGGAUAUGUCAGCCUUAGGUUCAUUAAACGAUUUAUUUCUCCAUUUUUAGAAUAAACGUUUAAGUGUAAAUAUGAAAGUACUGACGUGUGUUUUUGUUUGGGUAGCAGUGUUUAGGCGGCGGGAUUGUGGGUGGGUUAGUAGACGGAUUCUUGUAAGCAAAAGACUUGAGCUGUCGGACAAUUUAAGGCAGAAGUGAGGGGAGGCUGAGCGCGCGCAGACCCCAUCUUCCAGGGUGCUGUAUGCAUUUGAACCCGCAAGGAUUUUUUUCGGGCAACUUUGCAUCUUCAGAUGAUUUAAUUCGUCACACGUAGAGAUGCGCGUUGCUUUUUAUAAAAUGAACAGCAAUACGAACAGCUCAUAUGUAAAAGCGUAAGCGACAGCUCAGACACAGAACCCGUUCUUUAGCAUGUCCCAUUGGGGGGCGAAAAAUAGGCUAUACGAUUUGUGAGUGACGGAUUUCUGAUUUCAGUGUGGUCAUACUGAGAGCGCUCAAACAUCUGGCCAUCGGGUAAUAUUGUUAUUAGAGGGAAAAAAACUAAGCCGCAAAUCGAAAGGUCUAUAUAUAUAUAUAUGUAUGUGUGUACAUUAUAUAAUAGUAAUAAGAAUAAGGGUGAGCCCAGCUCCUGGCGUUACAGCCGUCUUGCGGCUGCCCUUUCGCUCCCGAGCCGAUCCGCGUCCCCUGAGAGCAGUCGAUUACUCAUCGGACGCUGCGUUAUGUCAAACCAAUGCGGGCUGUUGUCUCUCCUGUUGAAAACACACGUAAGCGAAGACCGCGGCGCAGAAGCGUCUGGCGCGGAUCGCCGCCGGCUGCUUGACGACGGUUUGCUGUCUAACCAGCGAUCCGCUUGCAGGAACUUGCGCCCCGGUGAAUGAAAGCGAAGAGAAGCGGAGCGGAUUUCAGCGUUGCGCCUGCUUCAUAGUCUGGCAUCAUUUUAUUUCCCCCUGACUUGCAGCAGAUGGAAAGGCAGUUUCAGAGGCCUCGAAGAGUGGAGAAAUUAUUCAAGGAUGGGUUUUAUAUACAGAUUAACUGACUUAUUUCUUUACGAAUUGCAGCACAACGAAGCGAGGGCUGCUUAAAGAUAUUUACGUUUGCGUUCUUUUCAGACUUCUGCCAUUUGCAGUAUUUUGACGUCUUUUUUAACCACAGUGGAUAUUACUGUAUGUACUACAAUCCUUCAGCGGAAGAUAGAUAACCAUGCAGCCGGUGUUCUGAGCGGACUUUAGAUCAAUCAAGCCUGAAUGCUGGUGCUUCGGGAGAAGAAGCUGGAGUAUUUGAUCUUCACUGUAUGGACCUCAGGCAGGUUCUGCUCCAUGCUGCUCGGAUAGGUUUAGGUGAUUGCAGAUGCCUGCCAGACGACGGAGGUCCACCACCAUGCUCUCUGUAAGCUCAGCGGGGGAGCCCAGCUCCAGUGCUCUCUGUCUUUCCUCGGGGGGUGACCGUCACUGCUGUACACAGGUGGCUCUGUGCAUCUCCCUACUCUUAGGCCUCCUCCUGCCACCGCCAGGGGCUUUGGGUUCCAACCUCAACUGUCACAAAGCAUGCAUCUGUGCCAGCAACAUCGUCAGCUGCUCUAAGAUGAACCUGACGGCCGUCCCGGCCGGCCUGCCGCGGUAUGCAGCCGUGCUGGAUCUCAGUUAUAAUGGCAUCUCUGGAUUGCGCGCUGAGUGGACCAUCAUCAAGUUGCCUAAACUCCACAGCCUCCUGCUCAGCCACAAUAGCCUGAGCUUCCUGUCCACGCAAGCCUUCGUCCAUAUUGCCCGCCUGCGCUACUUGGACCUGUCAUCCAAUGCGCUGAGGCAGCUGGACGAGUUAAUCUUCGAGCCCCUCGCCCAGCUGGAGGUGCUGCUGUUGUACAACAACCAUAUCUCCCAGAUCGACCGCUCGGCCUUUGUGGGUCUCAGCAGUCUACAGAAACUCUACCUGAGCCAGAACCAGGUGUCCCGCUUCCCCCUGGAGCUGGUCAAGCAGAGGACUCGGCUGGAGAGACUCAGCCUGCUGGAUGUGUCCUCCAACCGGCUGAAGGCCCUGCCCAUACGGGAACUCCAAGCCUUGCCUGCCUGGAUCAAGAACGGGCUCUACUUCCAUAACAACCCACUGGACUGUAGCUGUGAGCUCUACAGCCUGCUGGCUCACUGGAACAUCCGGCAGCUCAAUUCCGCCACGGACUUCAAGGACGAGCACACGUGUGUCCUGCCCGGCCCACAGAAGGCCACGGUGAGAAUCGUCGACCUGAAUGGGGAGUACAUGAACUGCAGCACGUUUGCAGAGUCUGAUGAAGAGGCCUACCUUGACCAGACGUUGAUCCUUGGCUGUGACACACGGCACCGUGACUUGGUCAAAACUUGGGUGACACCCAGCAACACAGUGGUUCCCCCUGCUGGAAACCAAAGCACUGUGGUGCUACCAGACGGCAGUUUGAGGAUCAGCCCCGUACGGCCAGGGGACUCUGGUCUCUACACCUGCUUUGCGGUGGGCCAGACUGUCAAUGAGACCCUCUAUGUGCUGUUGAGGGUGCAUAACUUCACCCUGGAUGGUGCUGGGGAGACACUCAACACGGGCUACACCACGCUGGUGGGCUGUUUGGCCAGUGUAGUGCUGGUGCUGGUUUACCUGUAUCUGACACCCUGCCGCUGCUUCUGCUGUCUGGGUCAUGGUGGCCGGGCCAAGGCUCACCGUGAGGACAGCGUUCGCUCUUCUGCGCUUAGUGCCUCACCCGGUCCUGACGAACUAGGCGCUAGAGCUGGCCUCGCUCGCCACGUGGCCUUCAUCGACCCCAAGGAGCUUCAGGGUCAAAAUGGCAAAGUGGGCCUUGUCAGUGAGCAGGAGGGAGAAGCCCAGAAGAGCAGGAGGAAGAAGUCGGAUGCGGAAUCCAUCAGCUCUGUCUUCUCAGACACUCCUAUUGUGGUCUGAGAGGAGGACCUUUCUCAUUGGCAUUGAGUGUCAUUUCAGGACCUCCAUGUUAUGUGCAUCUGUGAUGUCCGAGGAGAGGAUGGGGGUGGCCAUCCCCAGGUCACUAGGAACACUGGUUAGUGUUACCGUGAUGUCUGAGGACAGGAUGGGGGUGGCCAUCCCCAGGUCACUAGGAACACUGGUUAGUGUUACCGUGAUGUCCGAGGACAGGAUGGGGGUGGCCAUCCCCAGGUCACUAGGAACACUGGUUAGUGUUACCGUGAUGUCCGAGGACAGGAUGGGGGUGGCCAUCCCCAGGUCACUAGGAACACUGGUUAGUGUUACCGUGAUGUCUGAGGACAGGAUGGGGGUGGCCAUCCCCAGGUCACUAGGAACACUGGUUAGUGUUACCGUGAUGUCCGAGGAGAGGAUGGGGGUGGCCAUCCCCAGGUCACUAGGAACACUGGUUAGUGUUACCCUGAUGUCCGAGGACAGGAUGGGGGUGGCCAUCCCCAGGUCACUAGGAACACUGGUUAGUGUUACCGUGAUGUCCGAGGAGAGGAUGGGGGUGGCCAUCCCCAGGUCACUAGGAACACUGGUUAGUGUUACCGUGAUGUCUGAGGACAGGAUGGGGGUGGCCAUCCCCAGGUCACUAGGAACACUGGUUAGUGUUACCGUGAUGUCCGAGGACAGGAUGGGGGUGGCCAUCCCCAGGUCACUAGGAACACUGGUUAGUGUUACCGUGAUGUCCGAGGACAGGAUGGGGGUGGCCAUCCCCAGGUCACUAGGAACACUGGUUAGUGUUACCGUGAUGUCCGAGGACAGGAUGGGGGUGGCCAUCCCCAGGUCACUAGGAACACUGGUUAGUGUUACCGUGAUGUCCGAGGAGAGGAUGGGGGUGGCCAUCCCCAGGUCACUAGGAACACUGGUUAGUGUUACCGUGAUGUCUGAGGACAGGAUGGGGGUGGCCAUCCCCAGGUCACUAGGAACACUGGUUAGUGUUACCGUGAUGUCCAAGAACAGGUCUAUAUAUAUAUAUAUAUAUAUAUAUAUAUAU